rnacentral:rRNA from 1 species
CCCUUAGAUGUUCUGGGCCGCACGCGCGCUACACUGAUGCAUUCAACGAGUUUUUCCUGGUCCGAGAGGAAUGGGUAACCUUUUGAAAGUGCAUCGUGCUAGGGAUAGACUAUUGCAAUUAUUGGUCUUCAACGAGGAAUUCCUAGUAGACGUAGUUCAUCAGACUGCAUCGAUUACGUCCCUGCCCUUUGUACACACCGCCCGUCGCUCCUACCGAUUGGAUGAUCCGGUGAAAUCUCGGGACGGCGGCUUGGUCGCUUGCGUCCGACUGCUGAAACUUGAUUAAACCAUAUCAUUUAGAGGAAGGUGAAGUCGUAACA